rnacentral:rRNA from 1 species
GGGGAUAGCUACUAGAAAUAGUAGAUAAUACCGAAUACGAGCACAGGGGUAGAGAUCUGUGAGGAAAGGAGCUAAGGCUCCGCUGAAGGAAUGGCCUGCGGCCCAUUAGCUAGUCGGUGAGGUAAGAGCCCACCAAGGCGAUGAUGGGUAUCCGGCCUUAGAGGGUGAACGGACACAUUGGGACUGAGAUACGGCCCAGACUCCUACGGGAGGCAGCAGCUAAGAAUAUUCCGCAAUGGACGAAAGUCUGACGGAGCGACGCCGCGUGGAUGAAGAAGGCCGGAAGGUUGUAAAAUCCUUUUGAAACUGAAGAAUAAGCGUUGUAGGGAAUGACAGCGUGGUGACAGUAGGUUUUGAAUAAGCAACGGCUAAUUACGUGCCAGCCGCAGC